UCUUUCGGAAAAGGAGGAGGAGGAGGAAGAGGAGGAAGAAGAAUCCCGUAUCCUUCUCCCCUAACGGGCAAGGGGGGUGUUAACCAAAUCUGAAAGGGCAGUUGAGAGAUGAAUGGUUAGAUGAUGAGAGUCCACUGUUCUUGCUGCCUGAAGAUCUGAAGAAGCUGGGGAUGUUUCAAGCAACCGAGCCUUCUUAAAAGAAGAAGAAGAAGAAGAAGAAGAAGAAGAAGAAGAAGAAGAAGAAGAAGAAGAAGAAGAAGAAGAAGAAGAAGAAGAAGAAGAAGAAGAAGAGGAAGAGAGAAUCUUCUUAUAAUGUGGCAAAAUAGCAUAUAGAAGUAACACAAAAUAUAAUUCCAUAUUUAACAUGUCCUCCAAAAUUAAAAC
rnacentral:lncRNA from 1 species